GCAGUGAGCCAUGAUCAUGCCACUACACUUCAGCCUGGGCAACAGAGCAAGACCCUGUCUCUAUUGAAAAAAGUGGUGGGAAGUGGGGGAGAAACCCUGUGCUACAGCAGUCUUCCUGAUUCCUGCUUACCCAUCUCCUACUCCAUCCCCAGACAAUCUCUCUAUGGAUUGGCCUAUUCUGACAUUUCACAUCAGUCAUCUGUUGCUUAAUGACAGACACACAUUUGGAGAAAUGUGUCAUUAGGCAAUUUUCUUCAUGUGUACACAUCAAAGAGUGUCCUUACACAAACCUAAAUGGGACAACCUACUGCAGACCUAGGCUGUAUGACAGAACCUAUUGCUCCUCGGCUACAAACCUGUACAGCAUGCAACUCUACUCAACACUGUAAGAAACUGUAACACAGUGGAAUGGGCUUUCCUCGUUCCCUUGGAGGAGACUGCGUGGGUUUCUAGACUAUACUAAGGUGAUUCUGAUGAACAGCAGCCUUGGAAACGACUGCCUUAGGGGACUUGCUGCUAUAAAUAAAG
rnacentral:lncRNA from 1 species